UACAGAGGGGGCAAGCGUUGUUCGGAAUUACUGGGCGUAAAGGGCGCGUAGGCGGCCUGCUAAGUCGAACGUGAAAUCCCCGGGCUCAACCCGGGAACUGCGUCCGAUACUGACAGGCUUGAAUCCGGGAGAGGGAUGUGGAAUUCCAGGUGUAGCGGUGAAAUGCGUAGAUAUCUGGAGGAACACCGGUGGCGAAGGCGGCAUCCUGGACCAACACUGACGCUGAGUGAGCGAAAGCCAGGGGAGCAAACGGG
rnacentral:rRNA from 1 species